UAUGAAAUGGAGAUAUCAACUUGUACUAAUUUCACCAAAUGUGUUGAAUUGGAUUGGGUUUUAAAUAUUUUAGGAUAAAAAUCAUAUUUUGAGAAGUUUGACGGUUGAUUAACCAUUGUACUUGUGGUUUUAAGUAUGAUGAUCACCAUGAAUCACUGUUUACAGAUUAAUUGAUUGGAAACAUAGUUUAAUUGGGUGUUAGUUAUAUUGGGGUUUCUAUCUAUGUAUAUCUUGUGUUUAUGGAUUUUUUUUUUUUUUUUUCUUAAUGCUUGCAAUCGGUUCGAUGAAAUGCUUAAGCCAUUAUUUUGCCUUAACAUAGCUAAUUGUCACAUUUUAAUAUUAGCACUACCUCGUUGAGACCAUUUGGUUGACUUUAUUAAGAGUAACUGAGUAAGUAGUUAGAGUAGUAAUACCAUCUCUGUCCGUCUCAAUUUUUAUCCAUUAUAUACACAACUCUCUGAAUCCCUUGUGCUCUUUCAUUAGGUUAGCAUGCAUACUUGAUAAGCAAGACGUUUAGCUAGAACCUAAUGAAUCUCUGUCAGUCUCAAUUAUUUUAUUUUAUAACCGACAUUAGGUGUCUGAAUGUGUAAUAUUAUUUUAUUUUAUAACCGACAUUAGGUGUCUGAAUGUGUAAUUGGUAAGCAAGAACCUAAUGCAUGUCGAAGUAACUGUCAAUCCAAUUUACAUGCCCAUUGCUCCUUUAAAAUUGAUUACUAUGCAUUAGCUGCCAGUUAAAAAUUAUGGACCUAUUUUUUUUAAUUGGGAAUUCAAUGAGUUAUAAUUGGGGAC
rnacentral:lncRNA from 1 species